CAAAAACAUUUCUAUUAGAAAUAAUUAAUAGUAAAAUCUGCUCAAUGAACUUUAAAUAGCCGCAAAACUGUGCUAAGGUAGCAUAAUCAUUUGUCUUUUAAAUGAAGACCAGAACAAAAGAUUUAACGUUUAAAUUAAUUUCUUUAUUAAAAACUUUUUAAAUUUUCUUAAAUGUAAAAAGACAUUUCUACAAAAGAAAGACGACAAGACCCUAUUGAACUUAACUUUAGUUAAACUGGGGCAGUUAAUUAAUUAUUACUUUAAUUCAAUUUUUUCCAUAAAAGAUCCAAUUAAAUUGAUAUUUAAUCAAGUUACCAUAGGGAUAACAGCGCAAUAAUUUUUUCAAGUCCUUAUAAUAAAAAUUGAUUACGACCUCGAUGUUGAAUUAAUUACCUAAUAUUUAGAGCAAAAACUAAUUAAGGAAGUCUGUUCGACUUUUAAAAAAUUACAUGAUUUGAGUUCAGACCGGUACAAGCCAGGUCGGUUUCUAUCUU
rnacentral:rRNA from 1 species